AAAAAAAAAAAAAAAAAAAAGAAGAAAAGGGUGGCUCUUUGGGUGGGAGAGGAAAGAGAGGGAGAGAAAGGGUGAAUAAUGAAUGCAGUGAUGAUGGAGAGAGAGAGAGAGAGAGAGAGAGAGAGAGAGAGAGAGAGAGGGAAAAGGGAAAGGAGAUGCUGUGGAAAAUGAAUGAGAGUGAAAGAGAAAUAGAGCAAAGCCAACACAACUAUCUCUCUCUCUCUCUCUCUCUCUCUAGAUUUCUCUCUAUAUACCAAACAAGGACACGAGUCACUGCAAUUAUAGAGGUAUUUAAUGCAUAGAAUAUGGGUUAUAGAUCUUUAAUACGGAAUAGAGGGUGUGAUUGAGUGAGUGGUGGGGAACAGUUUUUCUGAAGCCAUGCACUAUUGUGGUUUGAUGAAAUUGUUAUUGGCUGAGCCAGUUUGCGCCAUUAUCAGAUAAUUUUGAGUCUAAUUAAAAUGGAUGCACUUUGGAAGCAUAUUCUAGUUGACUAGGAGAACUUAUUAUUGGUUAUAUAAUAUAGAUCUAUAACUGUUCAAAGAAACCCAAACAGUACUUAUUUGCCAUAUUGAGUUUAAUGGUUGAUACCUAACGUUCCAAGUUCGAAACCUAAUAUGGUUAGUAUAUUAUCUUUGUCUCUUAAAAAAGAAAAAAAAAAAAGUAGAAUCUUUCCUCCCAAAAAAUAAUUAGUUGUGAAAAAUUUCCACCAGAUAUAUAUAUAAGAACAUUGGAAAUUACCACAUAGCUUUUCUUUUUUUUUUUGGUGAAGCUCAUUUUGAUUUUUUUUUUUUUUUUGAAAGAAAGGUAACAUGCAAUUCGCUUUAUUCAUUAUUUUUAAUAAAUAAACUUAGCUAGAAAUACGAAGCAACAAGCUAGACUUCAAAUUUGGAAUCUCGAGUACCAACUACAGAACCUUGUGCCAUUUACGCUAGGAACGAUCAAUAGCUCAUUUUGAUUUUUGCUCAUGAUAAAUGCUCUGUAGCUUUUGUUUUUAAAAUCAUUUGGUUUCUAUUUUCUACGUAGAAAAUUCGUUCUAGAAGUAAAACUAAAUAAGUACUCUGAGGGGCAUCACAUUUUUCAAUCAUGCAUCAAGGCCACAUUAGAGCUCUAUGCAUGUCUUCAUCAGCUUGCAUAACAUUUCUACAGAAACUGCGAAUACAUCUAAAAUAAGCUUACUCUAUCAUUUGUAUUUUGUUACUGAAACUGCGAUUCUUGUGUCCACCUCAAACCCAAUCACAUCACCAGGUUUGGUGAGGUGGAGCAAGCCCAUGAGGUGGGCCCAACAUGGGACCAUGUGUAUAUCGGAGGAAAAAUUCUAGAAUGCAACGGGUAUAUUAGUGACGUGGCGUAACAAACCAAUCAAAUUAAUCCUUUUAAGAAUAUAUGUCCCAUCAUGAUUGUAAAAAAGUAUUUUUAUUGUAUUUUUGUUUGAAAAGAAUGAAUGUGAUUGGUUUGUUAUUGAUGACGUGGUGCAAGUGUGACAGUGUAGAAUUCCUCAUAUCGGAGAAACCAUUGCAUGCACGU
rnacentral:lncRNA from 1 species